CGCCGCGCCGCGACCGGAGGCGCAAAGGGGAGCGGCGGCCAGCUGUGCUGCCUCGGAGGGGGAGCGACUUCUUCUGCAAUCGGAUUCCGGAGCGGUGUCCGCCAUCUAGUUGGGCGGCAGGGCAGGGCAGGGCAGGGCAGGGCGUUUAAGAAGAGUGUAGCGUCAUAUGUGUCAUGUUUCAGGCCUAAAAGUAGAUUGAAUGCGUAGUGUUUGGUGCUUCAUUAGAAAUGUAGUGUAUUUGCGUUCGACCUUAGGCAUUCGUAAUGUAUUUGUUAUUCGGGUUUAUCGCAUAUGCACUGUUCAAUUAUAAGUAACUGAAGUUGGAAGUCGUUUGGAAUGUUUUAUGAUUUCAAAAAUGUAGUCCAUAGGCUCCAGACUCCAGUAUCUGUAGCCUUUUUGUCACCUUGACUUAUUCUACUGGGCGUUCUUGCUUUUAUAUAGUUAAAUAGUUUGUUUAUUUUCUACAAAUUCAGUAUCGACCUUUUCAUUAGAAUCGUGUUAUGUUUUAAUUCAGUCGGUAGAACGUUGUCAACUUCUCCAUGUAAUGUCACCGUUUCGCGAUUACCUGCGGCGUUUUGAAUUGCUGUUCUUGAAAUUUCUAACUAUUAAUUCUUUCAUCGCUGUCUAGAUUUGCAAAGAUGAGCUCUUAAACUCGUCCACCCUUUGGAAUGAAAUGUUAUGGUUUUAAGAGUCGUAUGGUGUUGGCUAUAGUUUUAUCAAGAUUUUUGAACAUUUGAUGUAUCUUUUUGGAGGCAAUUGAAGUACUCUUGGCUACUUAAUAAAAAAUUACUUUCCUACAGAGUACAUUAAACAGCACUCAAUGAACCAGAUUUAGCUCCUGGUCAAUGACUGCACUUAUUUAAGCCAUAUAAGGAACAUAUGGAAAACCAAUGCCAAAUUCCUGGAAUGUUCUACUUGGGCUCGGUAUAAUAUUCUGCUCCAAGCUCCUACAAUGGUGAGAUGGUGACGAGGCGUACAGGACCGAGAUAGAUCAGCUGGUUGAGUGGUGUUGCUGCAAAAACCUUACACUCCACAUCAGGAAUUGAUUGUGGAUGUCACGAGGAGAAGUCAAGGGAACAUAGCAGUCUUCAUCGAAGGAUCAGAAGUGGAAAAGAUGAGCAGUUUUAAGUUCGAGUUUCAACAUCCGAGGAUCUAUCCUGGGCCCAACGUAUUAAUGCAAUUACAAAGAAGACACGACAACAGCUAAAUUUCAUUAGGCAUUUGAAGGGAAUUGACACUCACAAAUUUAUACAAAUGUACUAUGGAGAGCAUUCUAACCGGUUGCAUCACCACAUGGUCUGGAGGGUCACUCCACAGGAUCAGAAGAAGCUGCAGAAAGUUGUAAACUCAGCCAGCUCCAUCAUGGGCACUAGACUACUCUGCACCCAGGACACCUUCAAAAGGAGAUGCCUCAAAAAGGCGACCUCCAUUAUUGAGGACCACAUCACCCAGGACAUGCCCUCUUUUUGUUGCUGCAAUCAAGGAGGAGGUACCGCAGCCUGAAGACAGACACUCAACACUUCAGGAAUAGGUCCUCCUCCACCAUCAAAAUUCUGAAUGAGCAAUGAGCCCAUGAACACUACCUCAGUAUUUUUUCCUCUCUCUUUCCAUUAAUUUAAUUUAUAAUGUAUAUGUAUUUAUUUUAAUUUAUGAUUUUUAUUAUUAUUGCAAUUGACUGCUGCAGCAAAUCAACAAGUUUCAUGACAUAUGCCAGUGAUAUUAAACCUGAUUCUGAUUAACCUUAUUAAAGAUGACACCAUGGGAUAUUUUGUUUCCACUUGAGAUGACAAAUAGAACUUCUGUUUAACAUUACUUUAACACUCUCAACAAUAAAAUACUUCCUCUUCUCUUGUUUCUUGAGUCUCUAGAGUGACACAUAUCUAGAGACGGUCUCUUCAUACUCUUAUCUGGAAGAAAUCAGGGAAAAGCAGAAGAUGUAGGAAAUACUCAACAGUUAAGGUGGCCUCUGUGAAGGGAGCUAUUGUUCCAGGAGCUACUUGUAAGAAACAUGAUGACAACUCCUUGACCUUUAGCUUAGUCUUGCACAGGGAUAAGAGAACAAAGGUAUCGGAACAUAUUUAAUUAGGGGGAGGGUAAUUAUGAAAUGAGGCCAGAACUUUGGAGUAUAAAUUGGGAACAGAUACUCAGUGAAAUGUACAAAGGAAGUGUGGAGAUUGUUGGGCAUCACUUGCAUGGUGUUUUGGAUUGGUUGGUCUCAUUGAGGCAGGAAAGGAUGUUAAAAGUGACAAAAAAAGUGAAAAAUCUAGUCAAGUGGAAGAAGGAAGCACACUUAAGGUUUAGGAAGCAAAGGUCAGACAGGGCUCUUGAAGGUCAUAAGGUAGCCAGGAAUGAAGUUAAGGAGGAACCUAGGAGACCUAGAAGGGGACUUGAGAAGGCCUUGGUGAGUAGUAUUCAUGAAAACCCCAAGGCAUUCUACACGUGCAUGGACAGGAGGAUAUUUAACACAAUGGCAGGACCAAUCAGAGAUUAAAAAAAAGGAAACAUGCCCAGAGUCUGAGGAGGUAUGGAAGGUCCUUAAUAAAUAUUUUGCUUCAGUAUUCACUAGAGACAUUGACAAAUGUGAGAAUGGGCUAUUAUAAUGGAGCAUGUUGAUGUUAAGGAAGAGAAUGUGUUGGAACCUUUGAAAACAUUAGAAUAAAUGAGUUCCCAAGGCUGGAUGGGAUAUACUCCAAAUUGCUGUGGGAAAAUUGCUACAGGAAUAGUACCAGAAGAUUGGAGGAUGGCAAAUGUUAUUUCUUCAUUCAAAAAAGAUGAUAUGGAUAAUCCUGGGAAUUAUAGAUUAGUGAGUUUUACAUCAGUAGAAGGCAAACUGUUAGGAUUCUUAGAGACAGGAUUUAUGAGCAUUUGGAGAAGCAUAAUCUGAAUGGGGAAAGUCAGUAUAGCUUAGAUUUCAUCAGUUCACAUGAAAAGUUGUGAGUUUUGCUUUGAUUUCCAACAUCAGUAGAUUUUCUCGUGUUUAUAGCUUUGUGAAGGGCAGGUUGUGCCUGCUGAGUUUGAUUAAAUUCUUCAAGGAAGUGACAAAACAAAUUGAUGAAGGUAGAGUGGUGGAUGUGGUGUAUAUGGAUUUAACAAGUUUCCCCAUGGUAAGCUCAUUCAGAAAGUCUGGAAGCAUGGAAUCAAGAGAAACAUGGCUGUGUAGAUUCAGAAUUGGCUUGCCCACAGAAGGCAGAGGGCAGUAGUAAAUAUUCUGCCUGGAGGUAAGUGACUAGGGAUGUUCCUUAAGGAUUUGUUGUGGGGAUCCUGUUCUUUGUGAUUUUUAUAAAUGACUUAAGAUGAAGUGGAAGGUUGAGAUAGUACGUUUGGAGAUUACAUGAAGGUUAAUGCUGUUGUGGAUAGUGUAGAAGGUAGUAUACUACAAUGGAACUUUGAUACGAUGCAGAGCAGGACUAAGAAGUGGCAAGUAGAGCUAAAUCCAGAGAAGUGUGAAGUAAUAGACCCUGGAAGGUUGACUUUGAAGGCAGAGUACAAAGUUAAUGGUGAGAUACUUAACAGCGCAGAAGAACAAAGGGAUCUUGCAGUACAUUCCCACAGAUUCCUCAAAGUUGUUGCACAUGAUGAUAGAGUGGUUAACAGGAUGUAUGGUGUGUUAGUCUUAGUUAAUCAGGGGAUUGAGUUCAAGAGCAGCAAGGUAUCGUAUUCAGUUCAAGUUGCCUCAUUUUAGGAAGGAUAUGGAAGUUUUAGAAAGUGCAGAGGAGAUUUACCAGGAUGCUGCCUGGAUUAGAGAACACGUCUUAUUUGGAAAGUUUGAACAAGCUAGGGCUUUUCUGUUUGAAGUGAAGGAAGAUGAGAUGGCUUGAUAGAAUGAUAAGAUGCAUGGAUAGUAUGGACAACCAGCUCCCUUUUCCCAUGGUGGCAAUGACUAGUAUGAAAGGGCAUGAUUGGAGGAAAGUAUAGGGGAAGUCAGAUAAGUUUUUUUACACAGAGUGAUAAGUGUGUGGAAUGCAUUGUCAGGCAGAGGCAGAUCCAUUAGGAAUACCUAAGAAUACAGUCAUAUGGACAUAAGAAAAAUAGAGGGCUCAGUGGGAGAGAAGAAUUAAAUUUAUCUUGGAGUAGGUUACAGGUUGGCAGAACAUUGUGGGCUUAAGUGCCCAUACUGUGCUAUACUGUUCUAUAUUCUAUGUUAACCAUGACUUUUCAUUAGGUCAAAAGAAAAAUUAUUAAUCUAAAUGCUCUGAAAGGUCGGUAAAGACUGUCCGAAUGUAUCGUGGCUUGGUAUGGCAUUGCUCUGCUGUGAAUUCUGUCUGUACUUUGUGCUACUCCAGUAAAACACCCAGCAUAACCAAAGACCUUACCCACCCUAGACAAUUCUCUUUUCUCCCCUCUCCCAUCCAGCAGAAGAUACAAGUGCCUGAAAGAACUAGGCUCAGGGACAGCUUCUACCCUGCUAUAAGGCUUCCCUAGAACAAUACGAUUGAUUCUUGAUCUCAUAAUCUACAUUGUUAUGAUCAUGCACUUUAUUGUCUAUUUGCACUGUACUUUCUCUGGAGUUGUUACAUUUCAUUCUGCAUUUUGUUAUUGUUUUACCUUGUAAUUCCUUAAUGUACUGGGAUGAAUUGAUCUGUAUGAUAAUAUGCAGGAUAAGCUAUUCACUGUAUCGCUGUAUAUUUUACA